rnacentral:lncRNA from 1 species
UGCACUACAACUUUGGGCAUCUAAAACAGUGAAAGAAAUAUUUAAGUUAUACAUAAAGAUUUAGAUAGUGGCCAGAUAAUUUAAAAACAGUUUAAUAAAUUUAUAUCAAAACAACUUAUCCAUAAAGAUAUUUCUUAUUAAAUAAAAACAACGUUCAAUCUUCAAAUUAGAUAUGAAUCAUCAAUAAUUUAAUUCACAUCAAAUUCUUAUUAUGAAUAUGAUAUGAAAUACUAGAUGAAACCUUUAUUUUCUUCUUCCAUUUUAUAAAAAACUCAAUACUUAAAUACUAAGAGUAAACAACUAUGUAAUAAAAUAAUAAAUCAUAUAACAGGAAUAAAACUGGCUGUUAUUUAGCCUUUCUCGAUCAUGUUUAGAUGAAUUCAUCUAAACAAUAAUUAAAUAAACUUUACUUUAACAAAGCAAUAUAAACAUUUUCAUAUACUAUAUAUAUUGAUUUUUCAUAAAACGUUUAUAACUAUGAAAAUAUUAGAGACAAAAUAACUAACUGAUGCUGUUGCCUGAAUCAUUAAUUGGAAUACUUUGAGCAGCUAAAACAGUAUGUUUUUUAAAUUAGGUUUAUAAUACAUAUAAUUUAAUUAAAUGUUUUUUAUUUAAAGUUUUGUUUAAGUUACAUGUGUUAUAAACAAUACUUUUGGUUAUUAAAUGACAUCUAAAAUGUAUAAACUCAAACAGAUAAUCUAUUGAAAACCUGGCCAUCAGCUAAACCUUUGUUUAUAAUAUAUACAACUUUUAUUAAAAAAAUCAUUUUAACUUUUUUAAUUUCAUUAAAAUUUUGUAAAAAUGUUUUUAAUCGCUAUUUUGAAUAAAUUUUUUUUAAAAUAAGGAAACUAAUGUUUCCUCAUUUAAAGUUAUGACACUAUUUUUAAUGUCAUUAUAAAUAGUGUCAUAACUUUAUAAUGAAUUAAAGAAAAUGUUUAAAUAAUUGACUUGAAUUAAAUAACAAGUAAAACCUUCAUAGUUUUCUUGAUCCUGAGACAUUUUUUACUAAUUUAUCUAAAUCAAAUAUAAAAUAAUUAAGCAACCCCUCUGCCUUCCAAAUCGGCAUCGAAAAAAAAAAUUAGGUACCAAAAGUGCUACUAAAAAUAAGGUGCCUGCUACUAAAAAAUAUUCCAUGAAAUUUUGUAGGUGCAUAGAUAAAUGAAAAAUCUAGGUGAAAGAAUAUAAUUGAAAAAGUUUCCAGCAUAUAUUCGACACUAAUUUCAUGUCAGAAGUACAACCAAGUUUUUGACAUCAAUAAACUCAGUCAUAAAACUAGUCAUUAUAAUUACAAACCAAAAAGUAAUAAAGGUUAACUAUUCUAGUUUUUAAAAAUAAUCUAUGUUGAUAUCAAAUUCUAAAAAGUUAUCUGACAAAACAUGUUUUUACUACGCUAACUCUAAACGGACUUCAAAAAACGUGGCACAGAAUUUUAGCAUAAAAUUCGGAGCCGUAAAUCGCGAUUGUCACGUACCUACUAUGAGUGAUGAUCAUAAAGACAUUUUUGCAUUUAAAACUUUCGAAUCUGGGGUUGCAAGACUGAUACGUACUGCAUGUAAUGCAUUCCAUAAACGAGGUAGUGAUGAAGCUGGUGUGGCAGAAUAUUUUAAUUCUUUUAUCAUUGAAAAAGUGAAGACAAAUGUAUGUUUGCUCCUUUUAUUGGCAAUAGGUUCAACAUUUUGUUUUAUAAUGGGGCUGCACUGUAUUAUCAUUCUGAAUCUGUUAAAGAAUUUUUGUCUGAAUGGCCAAAUCCGAAUAAUUUAUUUACAGGCAGUUAAUAAAGAUAUAUCAAAUUUAUUGUUUUUAGCAGAAUCUCGUGCUUAAUCAAACACCUGUAUUUGGUCCAAGAUAAGCAAACACCUGUAUUUGAUUCAAGAGAUGUUAAAAUGCAUAAAGAUAAACUUUAUAAAAAACUUUUUGAGGAGACUGAAAAUAUAUAUAAUUUGAUUUCUUGGUGCAGUAGUCAUUAGAAAUAAUUUCCCAUGCGUUUUUAAUAAUUCUAGAAAGACAAGCAAUUGAUCAGCCUCCAGGAGGUAAAUAUUGGAACUCAGAUAAAAGAAUUUAAAAGGCUGCUGAAAAUGUAUCAACAACUAACAAAGCUUCAGAAAGUGAUUUUGCGAUUCUGGAUUUACUUAUUCGGACAAAGCCUAAUGCUAAAAUACAAACAAUUCAAGCAUAUACAAUGUGGUACAGAAACAAAACCUUAGAUUGGUUGAAUGCAAAGUCAGAAGAAGAGCGUUACAUUUUAAUUGAAAAAGCUUCUAAUAGUGUUGAAAAAAAUGAAGUUAAAGUAAAAAGCGUCAAGUUAAGUUAAUAUCAAAGAAAUCUUAUAUUCUGAUAGUAAAACAGCAACUCAAAGCAGAUACAAAAAAGAAGGCAUCCUGAAAAAAGCAAAUAUUGUAAAUGAGCUUAUUCAAUGGAAAUCACAAGUUUGGCUAACAGCGGAUGAAGCAAAAGAUAAAUCUUCAAAAAUUUUAAAUGAUACUUUAAGGAAGCAAGUCAUUAGAGUUCAAUUAGAUUUUUAUCGUUAUGUAAUGAUGGCAAAAUGUUUGUUCAGGAGAGUUAAUGGAGAACCUGUUGACUGUCAUUUGUACCUGCAAUUUGCCUCCGCCAGAAAAAACAACCAAUACAUUAAAAGAAAAAAACCAACGCUGUGAUUGAUUAAGAAACAAAAAGAAAGGAUUCUAGAAUGUCAUAUCUUGCAAAACAAAACAAAUAGUCCUUUUUUUUUGCCAGCUUUAUUAGACGAUCCAUUUAGUUUAAUUGGGCAAGUUGUUCUUCAUAAAAUAAAAGAAGUUGAUGAAGAGUAUUUCUGGUGCAAAGCAAAUGUUGUUAAAAUGGGUAAAGUUGGAAAAAAAAUUAAGCAAACAUAUGAUGUUAUUUAUGAAUCAGAACCUGAAAGCAUUUAUACAUUUCCACUGUUAUCUGACUUUGAUAAAGGAGAUAUGAUUUUGUUAUAAAAGGAAACACAAUGAACUGCUUGUAAGAUUGUGGUGCAAUGUAAACAAGAAGAAAUUGUGGAUGAUAAUUUUAAAUACAUUUUUGCAUUUUUCCUUA